UUUAGAAGUCAUCUGAUUGUACGCGCGUCCGGUUGCGGAUCUCUCUCUCUCUCUACCAUGGCGAUCAAUAAGAUGUCACAUUUCAGUGUCUUGCUACUUGCUAACUAAUUAUCUUAUGUAAGCGCUUCCUGGUUUAGUAGUUGCCUAGCUGAUAAUUUGGUACCCCUCUCUCUCUCUCUACCAUGGCGAUCAAUACGAUGUCACAUUUCAGUGUCUCUGCUUCGUUUCCCCUGGAUCCCAAUUCCCACAUACUCUGGUGCUGGCAUUCUGGAGAUUUUUAGCUCUUCUUCUUUGAAAUACCAGUUUACUCAUCCUCCUACUCAUUGCAGCUUUCCAUCUCUUCAGGUUUAAUAUUUUGGAGCUGUCUCUCUCUGGUUAACAGAGGAGUUGGUUUGGUGAUCUAUUUAUUAUAUUUCGUGGAGGAUUUGGAGCUUAAGAAUGGCUUCUGUACCUCAUUCUUUACUUUCAUCUUCUGUUACUUCUGCUUCGGAUCCUCUCCGAAGUUCGAGUAAUGGCCUUAAUGGAAUUCCCUUAAGGCUCAUUGGGAGGGCACGGUUGGGUGUGUUCUUUAAGGAGUUCACUGUUACUGCAAAGAUUAAGAAGGGAAAGAAGCAUGAUUACCCGUGGCCUAACAAUCCUGAUCCGAAUGUCAAAGGAGGAGUUCUUAGUCAUCUUUCUUAUUUCAAGCCUUUGCAGCAGAAGCAGAAUCCAGUCACUUUGGAUUUCGAAAAACCGCUUGUGAAUCUGGAGAAGAAGAUUGAAGAUGUGCGAAAGCUUGCACAGGAAACUGGUUUGGAUUUCAAGGAUCAAAUCGUCUCACUGGAGAAUAAGCAUCAACAGGCUCUAAAGGAUUUAUACAAGCAUCUAACUCCUAUUCAACGAGUGUAUAUUGCUCGACAUCCUAACAGACCAACAUUUCUUGACCAUAUAUUGAAUAUCACUGACAAGUGGGUGGAACUACAUGGAGAUCGAGCGGGUUAUGAUGAUCCUGCUAUCGUAACUGGUAUUGGAAGCAUAGAUGGUAGACCAUACAUGUUCAUAGGUCAACAGAAAGGUAGAAACACAAGAGAGAACAUUCAUCGCAACUUUGGAAUGCCUACUCCACAUGGCUAUAGGAAGGCUUUGCGAAUGAUGUACUAUGCAGAUCACCAUGGAUUUCCUAUUGUUACUUUCAUUGACACACCAGGAGCUUUUGCAGACCUUAAAUCAGAGGAGCUAGGACAAGGUGAAUCAAUAGCCCAGAACUUGAGGACUAUGUUUGGUUUGAAGGUUCCAAUCGUCUCUAUUGUCAUUGGAGAAGGUGGUUCUGGUGGCGCUUUGGCUAUUGGAUGUGCUAACAAAUUACUAAUGCUCGAAAAUGCAGUCUUCUAUGUUGCAAGCCCAGAAGCAUGUGCGGCAAUCUUGUGGAAGAGUGCCAAAGCUGCUCCAAAGGCAGCUGAGCAGCUGAAAAUAACUGCUCCUGAGUUGGUCAAACUGAAAGUUGCAGAUGGCAUCAUUCCUGAACCAGUAGGUGGUGCACAUUCUGACCCAUCUUGGACAUCACAACAGAUAAAAGCUGCUAUUGCUGAAGCAAUGGAUGAGCUCUUGAAGAUGGAUAUACCAGAGCUAUUAAGCCAUCGGAUGCUUAAGUUCCGUCAUAUUGGUGGGUUUCUAGAAGGAAUUCCAGUUGACCCAGAGAAGAAAUUGAACAUGAAGAAGAAAGAUGAACCAAUAUCUCAGAAAGUARAGCUUGGAAGAACUCCAGAUAUUGAAUUGGAAAAUGAGGUUGGAAAGCUGAAACAAGUCCUAAAAUUCAGGGUGUCAUCUUUCAAGCCUACAGAGUUGGAAUUGAAUGAGAUGAUAGAGAAGCUGAGAAGGGAGGUUAAUCAGGAAUUCUCUGUGGCAGUCAAUGCCAUGGAUUUGGGGGACCGGCUUGAGAUGCUGCGGGAGGAGUUUGCAAAAGCAAGAAAUUCACCAGACCAACUCAUUAAUCAGGGUUUGAAGGACAAAAUUGAGAAGCUAAAGCAGGAAUUCAAUCAAGGAUUAUCAGAGGCUCCCAAUUAUGAUAGCUUGAAUUACAAACUUGACAUGUUGAAGGAAAUUUGUAAAGCAAAGAAACUCUCAGAGCAGAAUGGUAAAACAGCAACUUUGAAACAGGAAAUAAAUAAGAGAUUCAAAGAGGUCAUGGAUCGACCAGACAUAAAGGAGAAACUUGAGGCACUUAAGGCUGAUGUUGCUAAUGCUGGUGUGUCAACUGAGAGGGAUCUGGAUAGUGGGCUAAAGGCUAAAAUUUUAAAGGUGAAGAAGGAGAUAGAAUUGGAAUUGACUGAUGUGCUUAAGUCUUUGAAUUUGGAUGUAGAGGCCAUUAAAUCAAAAUUUAUCAGUGACCAGACCUCAUUAUUGGACUUCAAAGUCAAGAUAGAAGAAUUAAAUGAUGAAAUUGGAAGCAAAAUAGAGGCUGCUGCUAGUUCAUCAGAUAUUAAGAGCAGAAUAGAGCUGUUGAAGUUAGAGAUAGCAAUGGCAGGAAGGGAUCCUGGGCCAGAUACAAAAACGAGAAUUAAUUCACUUAUUCAACAAAUAAAGCAAAGCCUUGCAGAGGCUGUAAGUUCCUCAGAAUUGAUAGAGAAGCAUGAAAAGCUAAAGGAGGAGAUGACCAAAACCAUGGAAUCUUCUGGAGGAUCGAAUGGAAGCAUGAACUUGGAGGAUUUGAAAGGAGGCAGUUUGGAAGAUGCAUCAAGAUUAAAGAAUAAUGCAAGUGCAACACACAGCAUUGUUUGAUGAUUGAAGGCACAGAGCAGCUGAAAAGCUCAAAGAACUCAACAAUGGUGAACAGAUCUUGGAGAAAUAGCACAAGCAAAGUUUGAUUUUGAUGUGGUUGGACACUUGUCAGGCCUGAGGUGCUUUUCUUCACGGUGAGGGACCACCCAACCAAUCCAGCUACUUAAACAUCUGUAGCGGAAACUGAGAAACACAAGGCUCCCAGAAAUGAUAAUGUUUAUAUGGGGAACGUCUGGUCAUUCCUGGCUUUAAGACCUAGUGAUAUGGUGUUUGUACCAUCUUGCUGAAUCUGAAAUAUAAAGAAAUGCAUUGGCAGGUGAUUCACAGAACAUAGUUGGCAAGAACUUCUGUGGUUAUAAUGUUUUUUAUGUUCAUGGCAGGCAAUAUUAUCAGCCAUUCUCCAACUCUGUUCUUUGACUUGUUACCUUAGGUUUGUGACCAUUCAAUUAUCUUUUAUGUAAAUGUGAACUCCUAACUCGUAAGUAAGCCCUCUUUUUGUCAUUA